rnacentral:rRNA from 1 species
GCCUACCAUGCAGUCGAGCGGAACGACACUAACAAUCCUUCGGGUGCGUUAAUGGGCGUCGAGCGGCGGACGGGUGAGUAAUGCCUAGGAAAUUGCCUUGAUGUGGGGGAUAACCAUUGGAAACGAUGGCUAAUACCGCAUAAUGCCUACGGGCCAAAGAGGGGGAUCUUCGGACCUCUCGCGUCAAGAUAUGCCUAGGUGGGAUUAGCUAGUUGGUGAGGUAAUGGCUCACCAAGGCGACGAUCCCUAGCUGGUCUGAGAGGAUGAUCAGCCACACUGGAACUGAGACACGGUCCAGACUCCUACGGGAGGCAGCAGUGGGGAAUAUUGCACAAUGGGCGAAAGCCUGAUGCAGCCAUGCCGCGUGUAUGAAGAAGGCCUUCGGGUUGUAAAGUACUUUCAGUUGUGAGGAAGGGUGUGUAGUUAAUAGCUGCGCAUCUUGACGUUAGCAACAGAAGUAAGCACCGGCUAACUCCGUGCCAGCAGCCGCGGUAAUACGGAGGGUGCGAGCGUUAAUCGGAAUUACUGGGCGUAAAGCGCAUGCAGGUGGUUCAUUAAGUCNGAUGUGAAAGCCCGGGGCUCAACCUCNGAACUGCAUUUGANACUGGUGAACUACAGUGCUGUA